AACAAGAUAACCUCAUAAAGAGUAUAAGAAAGUUAUAACCUCGAUACUAAAUACAUUUACGAUACGUGUUAAUACAAGUACUUGAUUCUUAAAAUGUGUUGAAAAAGUAGUAAAUGAAUAAAACGUAAAAUAUCUUUAUCCUGUGCAUCUUCUCUUUCGUUUCAGUGCCAAUGUGUACACGACCAUGAGCGUAACGCAGCGCAGACUCGGCUCAGAGAAAAAAAAGAGGGAGAGAGAUCAUAUUAAGAAUAAUUACGGAUCUAUUUUCGUAUCAAGAAUCGAUGACAACAAAUAUCUUGAUUUCUAUAAACAUAGCGUUACAUCGUUGCGAUCGCUUUUUUUUAAACGAGUUUCGCAGAAACUUUGUUUUUUAAACCGCAUCCCUGACGUCAAAGAGAAAGCUCACGUAUCGUUGGCAACAGCGCCGUUUCAUUCAGUGUGAAAUUUAAUCUUGUUGCACAACUGGAGGAAAUGAAAAAGCAGAGACAUUACGAAUCAUUAACACGUAGAUAUUAUAAUGCCAUAAUAUAUCGUAUUCAGGUGUAUAUAUAUGUGUACAAACUUAACCGCUUAACGAGUAUAUAUAUACGGGGAAAAGGAAAGCAGGAGAUGGGCAAAGAUUAAAUCCUGUUAAUCAAUAAUCGAAGAAUUGCUGCUUUUACUUGCGACUCCUUGAGACUUAUAUCAACUCUUCUGCAUGAGAUUAGUAUAUCUACAAACUGGCUAAGAGAGAACGCGAGGUAGUGGAGACGCCUCAGACCCCUUGAAGAUUACAUUCGCCAAUGUCUAAUCUCCAAGAAAGUUGCUUAUAGUGAGAACGCGU